UACGUAGGUGGCAAGCGUUAUCCGGAAUUAUUGGGCGUAAAGCGCGCGCAGGCGGUUUCUUAAGUCUGAUGUGAAAGCCCACGGCUCAACCGUGGAGGGUCAUUGGAAACUGGGGAACUUGAGUGCAGAAGAGAAAAGCGGAAUUCCACGUGUAGCGGUGAAAUGCGUAGAGAUGUGGAGGAACACCAGUGGCGAAGGCGGCUUUUUGGUCUGUAACUGACGCUGAGGCGCGAAAGGCGUGGGGAGCAAACAGG
rnacentral:rRNA from 1 species